GGUGCUUGCACCUGAUUGACGAUGGAUCACCAGUGAGUGGCGGACGGGUGAGUAACACGUAGGUAACCUGCCCCGGAGCGGGGGAUAACAUUUGGAAACAGAUGCUAAUACCGCAUAACAACAAAAGCCACAUGGCUUUUGUUUGAAAGAUGGCUUUGGCUAUCACUCUGGGAUGGACCUGCGGUGCAUUAGCUAGUUGGUAAGGUAACGGCUUACCAAGGCGAUGAUGCAUAGCCGAGUUGAGAGACUGAUCGGCCACAAUGGAACUGAGACACGGUCCAUACUCCUACGGGAGGCAGCAGUAGGGAAUCUUCCACAAUGAGCGCAACCCUGAUGGAGCAACACCGCGUGAGUGAAGAAGGGUUUCGGCUCGUAAAGCUCUGUUGUUGGAGAAGAACGUGCGUGAGAGUAACUGUUCACGCAGUGACGGUAUCCAACCAGAAAGUCACGGCUAACUACGUGCCAGCAGCCGCGGUAAUACGUAGGUGGCAAGCGUUAUCCGGAUUUAUUGGGCGUAAAGCGAGCGCAGGCGGUUGCUUAGGUCUGAUGUGAAAGCCUUCGGCUUAACCGAAGAAGUGCAUCGGAAACCGGGCGACUUGAGUGCAGAAGAGGACAGUGGAACUCCAUGUGUAGCGGUGGAAUGCGUAGAUAUAUGGAAGAACACCAGUGGCGAAGGCGGCUGUCUGGUCUGCAACUGACGCUGAGGCUCGAAAGCAUGGGUAGCGAACAGGAUUAGAUACCCUGGUAGUCCAUGCCGUAACGAUGAGUGCUAGGUGUUGGAGGGUUUCCGCCCUUCAGUGCCGGAGCUAACGCAUUAAGCACUCCGCCUGGGGAGUAC
rnacentral:rRNA from 2 species